rnacentral:misc_RNA from 1 species
AAGUCGUAACAAGGUUUCCGUAGGUGAACCUGCGGAAGGAUCAUUGCAAAUCAAAGAUUGGGAAUGAUAUGAUUGAACCAUAAAAGGUUUGAGAGCGAUCUUGACAUUUUGCUGCUACUUGUUGCUUCAAUUUCAUUUUCAUAUACGCACAGCGUGCUUGGGAUUUAGAGGGUGCAAAUCCAAACACACUGAUGUUUACGCUUGUUUGUUUGACAAAUCUAUUACAUUUAAAUAUUCAAAACUUUUAACAACGGAUCUCUUGGCUCUU